rnacentral:tRNA from 1 species
AGCCCAGUGGCGCAAUGGAUAGCGCGUCGGACUUCUAAUCCGGAGGUUGAGGGUUCGAGUCCCUCCUGGGGUA